GUAGCAAACUAUCUUUCAAUGAGUUUGACUGAGGUGAUAUGAAGCACGCUGCUGCCUUUACGUGCUGUCGGAAUUAUGGAAUAGGACGUGGGCGCAAAAGUUAACAAUGCAACUGUAUUAUUUCAUAACUCUCGAGCACCGAUGGAGGAACUUCCGAGGAUCCGUGAAGGCAGCACGUGGCCCAGCUUUAACAGCUCUCCAGAUAUGUCAGACAUUAAGAGAAAUGGACCACCAGACCCCGUGUCUCUGGACCAGAGACCAGUGCAGUCUAUCAGAAGUCUCUUUCCCGGUGCUGGCUGAGCGUUACUGAGCA